UCAAAUGAUAAAAAAAAUAACCGUGUUAAAAUAUAUUAUAUUUUCUUAAAUAGUACACAUUUUUACGAUACAUUUAUAAUGACAAAAAACCAACUAGUUCAUAUGACGACAACGAUAAUUAUUGUAUGAUGGUAGUUGUCUGAAGUCAUAAAAAGCUUAUCGGUAUGCUUAUUCAUUAGAGCGGUUCGAUUCCUGAAACUAUCUCUAGUCUGAUUAAGUGUGGUAACAGUUUUAAGAUGAGUCAAAGAUUCUGGUUGAACAGUUCUCCAUCGACACUAACUGGAAGAAAUGAUUGUUUUAUCAUUUGUCUAAAUAGACUAGCUAGAAUGUGACCAGAGGAAGAUUAAAUGGACAUAUCAUAUAUUUCUCCAUGGACACUGUAGUAAUCCAUAGACUGACUUUUGACACUAUAUUUGAAUAUUUGUUGUUGACGUUAAUUGGAUUUUGUGCAAAACCCCUGGAAGAAUAUUCUGUAUCAGACUAACAGUAUAAACGCCACCCAGUAAUUCUGUUUACCUGCUGUUAGACAUCGUAGUACCAUCUCCAAUCUCUUUAUAUAUGUUUAAUUUUAUUUAAAAAAGUCUUAUUAUAAUUUAUUAUUAAUCAAGUGUAAUUCAGUUGAUUAUUUAUUGAAUAACUUAUUAUCCUGUCUUCAAUGUCUAUGUAAACUGUACUGUAUUUAUGACCACUACACUGAUAUCUCAUUUGGCUAAAUAUUUUUAAUUUUCAACUACAUUAAAACAA